AAACUUACCUGGCUGGGGGAAUCUCGCGAUCAUCAAGGCGGGAUCCCCAUGGUGAGGCCUGUCCAUUGCACUUUAGGACGGGCUGACUUGUGUGGCAGUCUCGAGUUGAGGCUCGCCAACAGCUCAAUUUUUGCGUAACGGGGCUGCGUACGCGCGGCCCUGA
rfam:Caenorhabditis japonica strain DF5081 Contig2303.1, whole genome shotgun sequence.